rnacentral:misc_RNA from 1 species
CCUCCUUUAAAGAAAUCGGAAGGCGGCGCGAAAGCGCCCACACAAUCUGCCUAAUCUUUGAGACAUUAGACCGCGGGUCUGUAGCUCAGUUGGUUAGAGCGCACCCCUGAUAAGGGUGAGGUCGGAAGUUCAAAUCUUCCCAGACCCACCACCUUUGCGUCCCUUGGGGGCGAAAAGAAAGAAGGGGCCAUAGCUCAGAUGGGAGAGCACCUGCUUUGCAAGCAGGGGGUCGGCGGUUCGAUCCCGCCUGGCUCCACCAGGCGCUAAACGCCGGCACAUACCUGCCGCCGUUUACCUCCCGGCCUAAAGUAACGCGGGACGAUCUUUUAAAAUUUAGGUAGUGAUAUACGACGGUGAAGUCAGGACAGCUAUUGACGUCCUGAUUUUACUGGGUAUGCCAGCAUUUAUUAUGGUAGUUGUGACUCCAUGAAGAGCAGUCUUCUGGGGGUUAUAUGAUCAAGCGACUAAGCGCGCAUGGUGGAUGCCUUGGCGGCAAGAGGCGAUGAAGGACGUGGUAGCCUGCA